CCAGACUCCUACGGGAGGCAGCAGUGGGGAAUAUUGCACAAUGGGGGAAACCCUGAUGCAGCGACGCCGCGUGAGUGAAGAAGUAAUUCGUUAUGUAAAGCUCUAUCAGCAGGGAAGAAAAUGACGGUACCUGAGUAAGAAGCCCCGGCUAACUACGUGCCAGCAGCCGCGGUAAUACGUAGGGGGCAAGCGUUAUCCGGAAUUACUGGGUGUAAAGGGUGAGUAGGCGGCAUGGUAAGCCAGAUGUGAAAGCCUUGGGCUUAACCCGAGGAUUGCAUUUGGAACUGUAAGGCUAGAGUGUCGGAGAGGCAGGCGGAAUUCCUAGUGUAGCGGUGAAAUGCGUAGAUAUUAGGAGGAACACCAGUGGCGAAGGCGGCCUGCUGGACGAUGACUGACGUUGAGGCUCGAAAGCGUGGGGAGCAAACAGGAUUAGAUACCCGUGUAC
rnacentral:rRNA from 1 species